rnacentral:rRNA from 2 species
ACGGAAGGCAGCAGUGGGGAAUAUUGCACAAUGGGCGCAAGCCUGAUGCAGCGAUGCCGCGUGAGGGAAGAAGGUUUUCGGAUUGUAAACCUCUGUCAACAGGGACGAAAAUGACGGUACUUGACUAAGAAGCUCCGGCUAAAUACGUGCCAGCAGCCGCGGUAAUACGUAUGGAGCAAGCGUUAUCCGGAUUUACUGGGUGUAAAGGGAGCGUAGACGGCAAAGCAAGUCUGAAGUGAAAUCCCGGGGCUCAACCCCGGAACUGCUUUGGAAACUGUUUAGCUAGAGUGCAGGAGAGGUAAGCGGAAUUCCUAGUGUAGCGGUGAAAUGCGUAGAUAUUAGGAGGAACACCAGUGGCGAAGGCGGCUUACUGGACUGUAACUGACGUUGAGGCUCGAAAGCGUGGGGAGCAAACAGGAUUAGAUACCCUGGUA